GCCAUGGCUGCCCGUGGUGUCAUCGCUCCAGUUGGCGAGAGUUUGCGCUACGCUGAGUACUUGCAGCCCUCGGCCAAACGGCCAGACGCCGACGUCGACCAGCAGAGACUGGUAAGAAGUUUGAUAGCUGUAGGACUGGGUGUUGCAGCUCUUGCAUUUGCAGGUCGCUACGCAUUUCGGAUCUGGAAACCUCUAGAACAAGUUAUCACAGAAACUGCAAAGAAGAUUUCAACUCCUAGCUUUUCAUCCUACUAUAAAGGAGGAUUUGAACAGAAAAUGAGUAGGCGAGAAGCUGGUCUUAUUUUAGGUGUAAGCCCAUCUGCUGGCAAGGCUAAGAUUAGAACAGCUCAUAGGAGAGUCAUGAUUUUGAAUCACCCAGAUAAAGAAAGAGAUAAUCUCCAAGAGUCAGCAUGGAUUCACUAAGAAAAGGUGGAUCUCCUUACGUAGCAGCCAAAAUAAAUGAAGCAAAAGACUUGCUAGAAACAACCACCAAACAUUGAUGCUUAAGGACCACACUGAAGGAAAAAAAAAGAGGGGACUUCGAAAAAAAAAAAAGCCCUGCAAAAUAUUCUAAAACAUGGUCUUCUUAAUUUUCUAUAUGGAUUGACCACAGUCUUAUCUUCCACCAUUAAGCUGUAUAACAAUAAAAUGUUAAUAG
rnacentral:lncRNA from 1 species